GAUGAACGCUAGCGGCAGGCUUAAUACAUGCAAGUCGAGGGGCAGCAUGAUUGUAGCAAUACAAUUGAUGGCGACCGGCAAACGGGUGCGGAACACGUACACAACCUUCCAACAAGUGGGGGAUAGCCCAGAGAAAUUUGGAUUAAUACCCCGCAACAUAGCGAUGUGGCAUCACAUUGCUAUUAUAGAUUUUUCGCUUGUUGAUGGGUGUGCGGCUGAUUAGAUAGUUGGCGGGGUAACGGCCCACCAAGUCUACGAUCAGUAGCUGAUGUGAGAGCAUGAUCAGCCACAUGGGCACUGAGACACGGGCCCGACUCCUACGGGAGGCAGCAGUAAGGAAUAUUGGACAAUGGACGCAAGUCUGAUCCAGCCAUGCCGCGUGAAGGAUUAAGGUCCUCUGGAUUGUAAACUUCUUUUAUAAGGGACGAAAAAAGGCUUUUCUAAGUCGUCUGACGGUACCUUAUGAAUAAGCACCGGCUAACUCCGUGCCAGCAGCCGCCGUAACAC
rnacentral:rRNA from 1 species